rnacentral:rRNA from 1 species
UACGGGGGGGGCAAGCGUUGUUCGGAAUUACUGGGCGUAAAGGGCUCGUAGGCGGCCAACUAAGUCAUACGUGAAAUCCCUCGGCUUAACCGGGGAACUGCGUCUGAUACUGGAAGGCUUGAAUCCGGGAGAGGGAUGUGGAAUUCCAGGUGUAGCGGUGAAAUGCGUAGAUAUCUGGAGGAACACCGGUGGCGAAGGCGACAUCCUGGACCGGUAUUGACGCUGAGGCGCGAAAGCCAGGGGAGCAAACGGG